rnacentral:rRNA from 1 species
AUUGAACGCUGGCGGCAGGCCUAACACAUGCAAGUCGAACGGAGUGGGGACGGGUGAGUAACCCGUGGGUAACCUCCCAUCAGAGGGGAUAACACUUGGAAACAGGUGCUAAACCGAUACUGAUGGAUGGACCCGCGGUGCAUUAGCUAGUUGGUGAGGUAACGGCUCACCAAGGCCACGAUGCAUAGCCGACCUGGGAGGGGGAUCGGCCACACUGGGACUGAGACACGGCCCAGACUCCGACGGGAGGCAGCAGUAGGGAAUCUUCGGCAAGGGACGAAAGUCUGACCGAGCAACGCCGCGUGAGUGAUGAAGGUUUUCGGAUCGUAAAACUCUGUUGUUAAGGAAGCGGUACUUAACCAGAAAUGGACGGCUAACUACGUGCCAGCAGCCGCGGUAAUAC